AUGGCCAAGAUCCGAGAGAGGAAGACGAGGGAUAUUGGCCAAGUCAAAUGCAUCAAGGACGGAGCGGGCCAACUCUUGGUGAAGGACGAGGAGAUUAAGCAUAGAUGGCGGGAGUACUUCGACAAGCUGUUCAAUGGGGAGAAUGAGAGUUCUACCAUUGAACUGGACGACUCCUUUGAUGAGACCAGCAUGCGUUUUGUGCGGCGAAUUCAGGAGUCUGAGGUCAAGGAGGCUUUAAAAAUGAUGAAAGGAGGCAAGGCGAUGGGCCCUGAUUGUAUCCCAUUGAGGUGUGGAAAGGUCUCGGGGACAUAG
rnacentral:rRNA from 1 species